rnacentral:rRNA from 1 species
AUGGCUCAGGAUGAACGCUAGCGGCAGGCUUAACACAUGCAAGUCGAGGGGCAUCGGGAGUAGCAAUACUUGCCGGCGACCGGCGCAAGGGUGCGUAACGCGUGAGCAACAUGCCCGUAUCAGGGGGGAUAAUCCAUGGAAACGUGGUCUAAUACCCCAUAGUAAUUAUGUAAGGCAUCUUAUAUAAUUUAAAGCUUUGGUGGAUACGGAUUGGCUCGCGUGACAUUAGCUGGAUGGUAAGGUAACGGCUUACCAUGGCUACGAUGUCUAGGGGUUCUGAGAGGAAGGUCCCCCCACACUGGAACUGAGACACGGUCCAGACUCCUACGGGAGGCAGCAGUGAGGAAUAUUGGACAAUGGAUGGAAAUCUGAUCCAGCCAUGCCGCGUGCAGGAAAGACGGCCCUAUGGGUUGUAAACUGCUUUUGUAUGGGAGCAAUAAGGGCUACGUGUAGUCCGAUGAGAGUACCAUACGAAUAAGCACCGGCUAACUCCGUGCCAGCAGCCGC